AUACGUAGGGAACGAGCGUUGUCCGGAAUUACUGGGCGUAAAGGGCGCGUAGGCGGGUAUUUAAGUCAGAUGUGAAAGCUCCGGGCUUAACUUGGAGAGUGCAUUUGAAACUGGAUAUCUUGAGGGCAGGAGAGGAAAGUGGAAUUCCUAGUGUAGCGGUGGAAUGCGUAGAUAUUAGGAGGAACACCAGUGGCGAAGGCGACUUUCUGGACUGUACCUGACGCUGAGGCGCGAAAGCAUGGGGAGC
rnacentral:rRNA from 1 species